rnacentral:RNase_P_RNA from 1 species
UCAGACGGCUGGGCGGCCGCGGCCGCUUCGGCGGUCGAGGAAAGUCCGGGCUCCACGACGACAUGGCGGCGGGUAACGCCCGCCGGGGGCGACCCCAGGGAAAGCGCCACAGAAAGCAAACCGCCUCUCUUCAUGAGAGGUAAGGGUGAAAGGGUGCGGUAAGAGCGCACCGCGUUGGCGGCGACGUCGACGGCACGGCAAGCCCCGCCAGGAGCAAGACCGAAUAGGGAUUCCGCGCCGGCGCAAGCCGGUAGGGCCGUCGUUGGCCUGAGGCGUCCGGGUUGGUCGCGAGAACCGUCCCGCAAGGGCCGGUCCAGAGGAAUGGUCGCCGCAUCCGGCUUCAGGGUUCGCCCUGGGUCGGGUGGCACAGAACCCGGCUUAUAGGCCGUCUGAUCCA